UGGUCUUAGCUUGCUAAGGCCGAUGGCGACCGGCGCACGGGUGAGUAACACGUAUCCAACCUGCCGUCUACUCUUGGACAGCCUUCUGAAAGGAAGAUUAAUACAAGAUGGCAUCAUGAGUCCGCAUGUUCACAUGAUUAAAGGUAUUCCGGUAGACGAUGGGGAUGCGUUCCAUUAGAUAGUAGGCGGGGUAACGGCCCACCAAGACCUACGACUGGAUAGGGGUUCCUUGGAGAGGAAGGUCCCCACAUUGGAACUGAGACUACGGUCCAAACCUCCG
rnacentral:rRNA from 1 species